rnacentral:rRNA from 2 species
UGCUCUCUGGGUGACGAGCGGCGGACGGGUGAGUAAUGUCUGGGAAACUGCCUGAUGGAGGGGGAUAACUACUGGAAACGGUAGCUAAUACCGCAUAACGUCUUCGGACCAAAGUGGGGGACCUUCGGGCCUCACGCCAUCAGAUGUGCCCAGAUGGGAUUAGCUAGUAGGUGGGGUAAUGGCUCACCUAGGCGACGAUCCCUAGCUGGUCUGAGAGGAUGACCAGCCACACUGGAACUGAGACACGGUCCAGACUCCUACGGGAGGCAGCAGUGGGGAAUAUUGCACAAUGGGCGCAAGCCUGAUGCAGCCAUGCCGCGUGUGUGAAGAAGGCCUUCGGGUUGUAAAGCACUUUCAGCGAGGAGGAGGGGUGGUGUGUUAAUAGCACAUCAUAUUGACGUAUCUCGCAAAAGAAGCACCGACUAACUCCGUGCCAGCAGCAGGGGUAAUACGGAGGGGGGCACUCGUUAUUCAAAAUUACU